GGGGGGAGCAAGCGUUGUUCGGAUUUACUGGGCGUAAAGGGCGCGUAGGCGGCCUCUGCAAGUCGACUGUGAAAUCUCCGGGCUUAACCCGGAAAGGUCAGCCGAUACUGCAGGGCUAGAGUGCAGAAGGGGCAACUGGAAUUCUCGGUGUAGCGGUGAAAUGCGUAGAUAUCGAGAGGAACACCUGCGGCGAAGGCGGGUUGCUGGGCUGACACUGACGCUGAGGCGCGAAAGCUAGGGGAGCGAACGGGAUUAGAUACCCCGGUAGUCCUAGCCUUAAACGAUGAAUGCUUGGUGUCUGGGGUUUUAUAGUCCCCGGGUGCCGUCGCUAACGCUUUAAGCAUUCCGCCUGGGGAGUACGGUCGCAAGACUG
rnacentral:rRNA from 1 species